rnacentral:rRNA from 1 species
AGCGAACGCUGGCGGCAGGCUUAACACAUGCAAGUCGAACGGGCUUCUUCGGAAGUCAGUGGCAGACGGGUGAGUAACACGUGGGAACGUGCCCUUCGGUUCGGAAUAACUCAGGGAAACUUGAGCUAAUACCGGAUACGCCCUUUUGGGGAAAGGUUGACUGCCGAAGGAUCGGCCCGCGUCUGAUUAGCUUGUUGGUGGGGUAACGGCCUACCAAGGCGACGAUCAGUAGCUGGUCUGAGAGGAUGAUCAGCCACACUGGGACUGAGACACGGCCCAGACUCCUACGGGAGGCAGCAGUGAGGAAUAUUGGACAAUGGGCGCAAGCCUGAUCCAGCCAUGCCGCGUGAGUGAUGAAGGCCUUAGGGUUGUAAAGCUCUUUUGUCCGGGACGAUAAUGACGGUACCGGAAGAAUAAGCCCCGGCUAACUUCGUG